GCCAGACUCCUACGGGAGGCAGCAGUGGGGGAUAUUGCACAAUGGGGGGAACCCUGAUGCAGCGACGCCGCGUGGGUGAAGAAGCGCCUCGGCGCGUAAAGCCCUGUCAGCAGGGAAGAAAAUGACGGUACCUGAAGAAGAAGCCCCGGCUAACUACGUGCCAGCAGCCGCGGUAAUACGUAGGGGGCAAGCGUUAUCCGGAUUUACUGGGUGUAAAGGGAGCGUAGACGGUGAAGCAAGUCUGAAGUGAAAGGCGGGGGCUCAACCCCCGGACUGCUUUGGAAACUGUUUGACUGGAGUGCAGGAGAGGUAAGUGGAAUUCCUAGUGUAGCGGUGAAAUGCGUAGAUAUCAGGAGGAACACCGGUGGAGAAGGCGGCCUGCUGGACUGCAACUGACGUUGAGGCCCGAAAGCGUGGGGAGCAAACAGGAUUAGAUACCCGGGUA
rnacentral:rRNA from 1 species